GUGCUCGCUUUGGUAGCACAUCUGCUAAAACUGGAAUGAUACAGAGAAGAUUAAUAAGGCUCCCAUGCAAGGAUGAUAUGCAAAUUUGUGAAGCAUUCCAUAUUUUU